UACGAAGGGGGCUAGCGUUGCUCGGAAUUACUGGGCGUAAAGGGCGCGUAGGCGGUUUGGUCAGUCAGGCGUGAAAUUCCUGGGCUUAACCUGGGGGCUGCGCUUGAUACGGCCAGACUUGAGGACGGAAGAGGCUCGCGGAAUUCCCAGUGUAGAGGUGAAAUUCGUAGAUAUUGGGAAGAACACCGGUGGCGAAGGCGGCGAGCUGGUCCGUUACUGACGCUGAGGCGCGACAGCGUGGGGAGCAAACAGG
rnacentral:rRNA from 1 species